UCCGGUUUGUCACCGGCAGUCCCAUUAGAGUGCUCAACUGAAUGUAGCAACUAAUGGCAAGGGUUGCGCUCGUUGCGGACUUAACCCAACAUCUCACGACACGAGCUGACGACAGCCAUGCAGCACCUGUGUCUAGGUUCCCUUUCGGGCACCUCUGCAUUUCUGCAGAGUUCCUAGCAUGUCAAGGGUAGGUAAGGUUUUUCGCGUUGCAUCGAAUUAAACCACAUGCUCCACCGCUUGUGCGGGCCCCCGUCAAUUUCUUUGAGUUUUAAUCUUGCGACCGUACUCCCCAGGCGGAGAACUUAGCGCGUUAGCUACGACACCGAGAGGCUAAUCCCUCCCGACAUCUAGUUCUCAUCGUUUACGGCGUGGACUAC
rnacentral:misc_RNA from 1 species